AGCGCAGGCGGACCGGCAAGUUGGAAGUGAAAACUAUGGGCUCAACCCAUAAAUUGCUUUCAAAACUGCUGGCCUUGAGUAGUGCAGAGGUAGGUGGAAUUCCCGGUGUAGCGGUGGAAUGCGUAGAUAUAUGGAAGAACACCAGUGGCGAAGGCGGCUUUCUGGACUGUAACUGACGUUGAGGCUCGAAAGUGUGGGUAGCAAACA
rnacentral:rRNA from 1 species